CCUACGGGUGGCAGCAGUGAGGAAUAUUGGUCAAUGGACGAGAGUCUGAACCAGCCAAGUAGCGUGAAGGAUGAAUGCCCUAUGGGUUGUAAACUUCUUUUAUAUGGGAAUAAAAUGUUCCACGUGUGGGAUUUUGUAUGUACCAUAUGAAUAAGGAUCGGCUAACUCCGUGCCAGCAGCCGCGGUAAUACGGAGGAUCCGAGCGUUAUCCGGAUUUAUUGGGUUUAAAGGGAGCGUAGGUGGAUUGUUAAGUCAGUUGUGAAAGUUUGAGGCUCAACCGUGAAAUUGCAGUUGAAACUGGCAGUCUUGAGUACAGUAGAGGUGAGCGGAAUUCGUGGUGUAGCGGUGGAAUGCUUAGAUAUCACGAAGAACUCCGAUUGCGAAGGCAGCUCACUGGACUGCAACUGACACUGAGGCUCGAAAGUGUGGGUAUCAAACAGGAUUAGAUACCCCAGUAGUC
rnacentral:rRNA from 1 species